AACGCACAUUGCGCCCGCCAGUAUUCUGGCGGGCAUGCCUGUCCGAGCGUCAUUUCAACCCUCGGGACCCCUUCUACCCCUCCGCGGGGGAGGCGGGCUCCCGGUGUUGGGGAUUGGCCGGACUUCCCGGCCAGCCCUGAAAGGCAUCGGCGGACUCGCCGUGGCUUCCUCCGCGUAGUAGCAAACCUCGCCCUGGAGCCCGACGCGCCCACGCCCCUGCACACACGCUCCCCAGGAGCGACUUCAAGGUUGACCUCGGAUCAGGUAGGAAUACCCGCUGAACUUAA
rnacentral:misc_RNA from 1 species